rnacentral:rRNA from 1 species
GCGAAGAUAACUCGAGUCUUAAAUGGCGACUCAUAGUCCUUUGUUCAGGACCCGAAACCGGUUGAUCUAAACUUGAGCAGGCUGAUAUUAUAGUGGUAACAUUUUUUGGAGGGCCGAACCCGUGUAUGUGGCAAAAUACUGGGAUGACUUGAGUUUAGGGGUGAAAGGCCAAUCAAAGCCGGUGAUAGCUGGAUUUCUGCGAAAUCUAUUUAAGUAGAGCGUUCUAUUAGAGUAGUCCGGGGUAGAGCACUGUGCAGGUGAGGGGGGCAUUUGCUUUACUGAGCUUUGGCAAACUUCGAAUACGGACUCUAUUUUUAGGGCAGACAGAACAUGUGUGCUAAGACUCAUGUUCAAAAGGGAAACAGCCCAGAUUGUUAGUUAAGGUCCAUGAUAUCGCUUCAGUGACAAAGGUUAUUUUUGCUCUGAGACCGUCAGAAGGUAGGCUUGGAAGCAGCCAUUCUUUUAAGACAGCGUAACAGCUCACUGACCUAGAGUAUAAAUUCCGCAAAUUUUGAGGGCUUAAAGUUAUUACCGAAACUUCAAACAAAAGAAUAUAUUAAAAUUAUUUUGUGGUAGCAGAACAUUCCGUAGGUUGUAAAAGCUAUAGUGCAAACUAUUGUGAAGAUAUCGGAAAUGAGAAUACUUGCAUGAGUAGCACGAAACAACGAUAAACGUUGUGGCUGUAAGUCUAAGGUUUCCGAUCUAAAGUAAUACUUGGUCGGCAGAAGUGUGUACUUCUAGAAAAAACGGUCCCUAAGCGGUCAGGCCAAAGCUUGUAGUGAUGGGUAAGAUUAUGCUGUGAUAAGUACCUGACGAAAAAUUCACUUUAUUUUUAAUAAAUUUAAAGGUAAAUUAUUUUUUCCAAGAAAAAGGCUCUUUUUUAAACCGUACCUUAAACCGCCACAGGUAGAUGGGUUGAGAAUACUAAGGCCUUGAGAUAACCCCGUUGAAGGAACUCGGCAAAAUGACUCUGUAACUUCGGAAUAAGGAGUAAAAAGUAAUGCGAAAGCUCUACUUUUUGGCACAAAAUCGGGGGUAGCGACUGUUUAUUAAAAACACAGGUCUCUGCUAACUCGUAAGAGGUUGUAUAGGGACUGACACCUGCCCGGUGCCGGUAGGUAAAGACCCGGUGUUUACGCAUUGGUAUCAAACCCCGGUAAACGGCGGCUGUAACUAUGACGGUCCUAAGGUAGCGAAAUUCCUUGUCGGGUAAGUUCCGACCCGCAUGAAUGGUGUAACGACUUCCCCGCUGUCUCCAACGGGGUCUCAGUGAAAUUACAAAGGUCGUGAAGAUGCGACCACCCUACAGCUGGACGGAAAGACCCCGUGCACCUUUACUAUAUGCAACUAUUGUAACUCAAAGGUUUUAGUGUAGAAUAGGUGGGAGCUUGUGAGUUAAUUUCUACGGAAAUUAUUUAGGCGUUAGUGAAAUACCACCCAAAAAUUUGUUGGUUUACUAACUCGCGGACAGUGGUUGCUGGGUAGUUUGACUGGGGCGGUCGCCUCCUAAAGAGUAGCGGAGGCACGCAAAGGUAGGCUCAUUUCCAAUAAAGGUAAAUCGAGCGUAAUGGUAAAAGCCUGCUUGACUGUAAGAAAAACAUUUCGAUCAGAGACGCAAGUCGGUCAUAGUGAUCCGGUAAUUCUUUGUGGAAGGGUUAUCGCGCAAUGGAUAAAAGGUACGCCGGGGAUAACAGGCUAAUGAUCCUCUAGAGCUCCUAUCGACGGGUUCGUUUGGCACCUCGAUGUCGACUCAUCACAUCCUGGAGCUGAAAAGGGUUCCAAGGGUUCGGUUGUUCGCCGACGAAAGUGGUACGUGAGUUGGGUUUAGAACGUCGUGAGACAGUUUGGUCCCUAUCUUCUGUGGGUGUUUGAAAACUCCGAGGACUAUACCUUAGUACGAGAGGACCAGGAAAACUCGAUCCCUGGUGUUCCGGUUGUU